CACGUAGGCACCAAGCGUUGUCCGGAUUUAUUGGGCGUAAAGAGCUCGUAGGCGGUUCAGUAAGUCAGGUGUGAAAUCUUUGGGCUUAACCCAAAGCGUGCACUUGAUACUGCUGUGACUUGAGUUCGGUAGGGGAGUGGGGAAUUCCUAGUGUAGCGGUGAAAUGCGCAGAUAUCAGGAGGAACACCGGUGGCGAAGGCGGGUCUCUGGGCCGAUACUGACGCUGAGGCGCGAAAGCGUGGGGAGCAAACAGG
rnacentral:rRNA from 1 species